rnacentral:rRNA from 1 species
UGAACGCUGGUGGCAGGCCUAACACAUGCAAGUCGAGCGGCAGCGGNAAAGUAGCUUGCUACUUUGCCGGCGAGCGGCGGACGGGUGAGUAAUGUCUGGGAAACUGCCUGAUGGAGGAGGAUAACUACUGGAAACGGUAGCUAAUACCGCAUGAUGUCGCAAGACCAAAGUGGGGGACCUUCGGGCCUCACGCCAUCGGAUGUGCCCAGAUGGGAUUAGCUAGUAGGUGAGGUAAUGGCUCACCUAGGCGACGAUCCCUAGCUGGUCUGAGAGGAUGACCAGCCACACUGGAACUGAGACACGGUCCAGACUCCUACGGGAGGCAGCAGUGGGGAAUAUUGCACAAUGGGCGCAAGCCUGAUGCAGCCAUGCCGCGUGUGUGAAGAAGGCCUUAGGGUUGUAAAGCACUUUCAGCGAGGAGGAAGGCGUUGUAGUUAAUAGCUGCAACGAUUGACGUUACUCGCAGAAGAAGCACCGGGCUAACUCCGUGCCAGCAGCCGCGGUAAUACGGAGGGUGCAAGCGUUAAUCGGGAUUUACUGGGCGUAAAGCGCACGCAGGCGGUUUGUUAAGUCAGAUGUGAAAUCCCCGAGCUUACUUGGGAACUGCAUUUGAACUGGCAAGCUAAAGUCUUGUAGAGGGGGG